GAGUAAAAGUCGUAACAAGGUUUCCGUAGGUGAACCUGCGGAAGGAUC
rnacentral:rRNA from 1 species